rnacentral:rRNA from 1 species
GUGGAUUAGAUACCCUGGUAGUCCACGCCCUAAACGAUGUCAACUGGUUGUUGGGAGGGUUUCUUCUCAGUAACGAAGCUAACGCGUGAAGUUGACCGCCUGGGGAGUACGGCCGCAAGGUUGAAACUCAAAGGAAUUGACGGGGAUCCGCACAAGCGGUGGAUGAUGUGGUUUAAUUCGAUGCAACGCGAAAAACCUUACCUACCCUUGACAUGUCUGAAAUCCUGCAGAGAUGUGGGAGUGCUCGAAAGAGAAUCAGAACACAGGUGCUGCACGGUUGUCGACAACU